rnacentral:rRNA from 1 species
GACGAACGCUGGCGGCGUGCUUAACACAUGCAAGUCGAGCGAUGAAGCACCUUCGGGUGUGAAUUAGCGGCGAACGGGUGAGGAACACGUGAGAAAUCUGCCUUCAACUCUGGGAUAACUCCGGGAAACCGGGGCUAAUACCGGAUAUGAGCCUUGAUCGCAUGAUCGGGGCUGGAAAGUUUUUCGGUUGAAGAUGAUCUCGCGGCCUAUCAGCUUGUUGGUGAGGUAACGGCUCACCAAGGCGACGACGGGUAUCCGGCCUGAGAGGGCGACCGGACACACUGGGACUGAGACACGGCCCAGACUCCUACGGGAGGCAGCAGUGGGGAAUAUUGCGCAAUGGACGAAAGUCUGACGCAGCGACGCCGCGUGAGGGAUGAAGGCCUUCGGGUCGUAAACCUCUUUCAGUAGGGAAGAAGCGAAAGUGACGGUACCUACAGAAGAAGCACCGGCUAACUAUGUGCCAGCAGCCGCAGUAA